ACCCCACACUAUUAAGCCGACAUUUUUAAUACAACCCAAUUGGAAAUGUGUGCUCGUUGUGGGAACAGAAAAGUCUGCUAAUUGUGUAUGGUUGUAUUAAUUAUAUAGAUGCAAUCAAAGAAUUGAUGCCGGACA